CCAAGAUCCGAACCCACAAACCCAGACCACUACAGCAGAGCAUGCAGGACUUUAACCACUUGGUGACGAAGCCAGGCCGAAUUUUUUGUUUUUUUUUUUUUACUUUACGACUAUGCAUAGACCACAGGCUGAUAAAUUUCUCCUUCAUUCUCUUUGAAUGGGGCAAUUCCCACUCAGCUGGCUAUUUUCCCCAGAAUAGUAUAGGAGGAAUAUUUUUGACUGUCUUCCUUAUUAACUCAAAAAGUCCCUUCAGCCUCCUCCCUUAGGAAUUGAGUGAAAAGUUGGAUGUUGGAUGAAGAAUUUAUCUGAGAGGAAAUUUCUGGGGCUUGGGGAAUAUUCGACUGUGGAAUUCUGUUUCUGAGUUUCUCCGUGAACGCAGGAACAUCUUCAUUGUUUUUUAGUGUAUGCUUUAUGCUUUCAAGUUUGGGGAAUGUCCACGUCUUGGAUUUCAGCACAUAGUCACUUGUCAGUUGCCCACUUUGGUGAGAAGAUGAGUAGCAAUGAAUCAUCUCCUUCUUCUUUUUGGUGGAUAGCUGUAUAAUUUCUCCUGAAUUGGGCCUAUUGCUGAAAAGUCAGCUCACGUCCGUAUAUCAUCUCUCCUGUUUGGAAGCUGGACCAGAGAAGACAAUGGUUUCCCCUGUGCCAUCCAACUUCCCCACUCACCAUCUUGUUUCGGGGACCAUCCUGUGAAGGCACAGCAUAAACCUCGAAGAGGGAUGUUUCAAGCAUUAGUCAGGGAGCAAGGAUGACUCUGUGGCCCUUCAAGGUGUCUGUGAAACCAAGGCAAUGAGAAAGUUUUGUCUGGGUGGCCAAAGGAACCAAGAGGAUUAUCUGUACUCUGAAGUCACACUUUUCCCAAAUAUCCCAUGGUAAGGACUUAUUCUGCAGUUACCUCCACUGUCUGCCGGCUUGCCUGUAAAAAGGAGGAGAAAUUGCAGAAAAGCAUGAACAGGCUGGAGGCAGCAGAGAGGAGUAGAAAUAACAGGGGCCUGAACAACGGAAGUUUUGGGUUCUCAGUCUGAUGAUAUGCUCACUGUCACCCCAAACUACCACAUCUUCGAGUCGUUGCUCCAUGUAGAGUGCUCCUCUCCCUGAAAGCGUAGACGAGAGACAUGGAGUAAAGUGUGGGCUCUGGAGCCACUGCCAGGACUGGAAGCCUCGUUCUACCCCUUUCUAGCUGUGUGAUCAUGGGAACAUUAGAAAACCGCUCCUUGCUCCUAUUCCCUAACCUGUAAAAGAUAACCAUAAUUAAACAUACCUUCCUGGUACGUUGUGAGGACUUAAUGCACAAAUUCAUAUAAAGUUCUUUGAAGAGUACCUGCAUUAUGACAAUGCUCAAAAAUGUUAGCAUUUAUUAUAAUUAGACCCCUCCUCCAUUCCAAAAUGCCCCUCAUUGCACGCUUAGCGAGCUCCUACUAAUCCUUCAAGUUUCUGCUUAAAUGUUUCCUCCUCUAAGAAGCCUUCCACAGCCAUCCCUUCCUCUCCCUAAACAGGGUUGAUACUUCCCCUUCUCUGAGGCUGUGCUAGGCACUGUUAAUACAGAGUUGCCUAAGAGUUAGCCACUGUCCCCACAUUGCACACAGUCUAGGAAGACAUGACAAGCUCUGUAAUAAGGUAGCACUCAGCACCAAGGAGGUUUCCUGCUCAGAGGUCGGUCAUUUCUCAAACUGUAUAAAACCCAAGGGCAACCUCUGAGACUGUAUUAGCUGUGUCUAGUUUUUCCUCUCUUUUCUUUUUCUCCACUUUGGUUCAUUCCCCAAACUUUCAUUUUACUUUCCAGUCUCCCUUCCUUUUUUCUCUUACCCUUCUUUCCUGUCUCUUGGGUUUUAUUCUCUCCUUUUCUCUCACUGGAUCUGCACUGCUUGUGGAAGAAGGAGAGCGCCUGGGGCAGUCUUCCUAGAAGAGAUAGUACACAAACUGAUCCUCAAGGCAGAGGGAGAUUUAGAUAAGGAACCGAGGAGUAAGGGGCACAGAUGGAGCAGGAAGGAACAGGCAGAAGGAACAUCAAAUGUGAGGUGUCUGAGAAGAAGGCAUGAAGGAAAGCACGUGCAACGAUGGUAUUUACUGAAAAAUGCAUGAAUUUCAGGCAACUCUGGGAUGUCCCAAGGUGAAGUGGGAUUGAUGAGAGAGGGGGUAAUUCGGGCAUUCCACAAUACGAUUGGAUUGUAUUCUCUAUGGGAUGGGUUCUAAAUUGAGAUUCUAAGGAAGAAGUUGACAUGAUUCUCUUUUCACGUUAGAAAGAUCACUGUGUGUAGGAUGGAUUGAAGGAGACUAGCUUGAUUCAGGCCAUGAAGUUAUGCUACUGAAACCAUCUGAGCAAGAGGUGCUGAUACGUCGAGGAUGUUGGCAAGAUGGUGCAGUGGUUAAGCAUGUAAGCUCUGCUUGUUCCCUGGGUUCUGCCAUUCAUAGAUGCCAAGCAAAGAGGUGACUGUCAAUGUCUCACACUCCCCACCAAACUUCUUAACACUUGAAAAAUGGGCUUUUGUUUCAGGUGGUCAACUCCUUACCAUAAAGAAACAAAGAAUCAGAGAUCUGCACAAUAGUUUACCAUCUGAGUUCAUAGGUUACAGAGAGCCUCAGUAACAACUGACGGAACAUCAACAGUUCCCGGAUUUACAACCGGCCAUGCCUCAGUAGGCCUGUUGUCCUUCCAUUUCAUGAGGCAACCUGGUUUCACAGAGGAAAUUGUGGAUUGACAGUCAGAAGUCCUGUGUUCUGUUCCCAGCACCAAUACACACCCCGAGGAGACCGUGGUGGAGUCACCUUCUUCCUCUGAGACUCGUUCUCCUGCUCUGUAAAAUGAACAAUGAAUUAAAUCAUCCUAAUGAUUCGCUCUCUUUCUACCAGCUCCCUCAGGCUUCAACAAUAAAAGAAUAAUGUUCAUUGACCAAAUGCCUUUACUGUUACAUUGGUCAAUUAAUCUCAGUGUGCUCA
ensembl:lncRNA